rnacentral:lncRNA from 1 species
CAAGAGUAAUCACCCCACCACCUGGAACCAUUUAGAUUAAGUAAAUUUACUGAGGCUCCAGACGAAGGUCUUCAGGACUAGACCUUAGUUAUAGAUUAAAAAAAGUUAAUCACUUAUGUCUUUAGAUGAAUGCACACUUACACGUAGACAUAUAAGCUCUAGAAAACUUUCUAAUUUUGAGUUUGUCUGGUGAUAAUUUCCAGGCCUUCUCCCUGUAACUGGUUACAGAAAUAAAAACUCUGUUCCUUCCCAGUUCAUCUGCAUCUUGUUAUUGGGCCGCAAGAAACAGCAGCCUAACCCUCAGUUUGGCCUGGAAACAGAAUGUGGCAUGCCAGCCAGGAGAGACCAGGACGGUGCUGUGUCCAGCAGCCAGAGGCUUGUGACCAGACAGUGUUCAGGAGGAUCCCAGCAGCUGCCAGUGAGAUUUUCCCGGGAACCCUUUUGAAGGGUCCUGUGGGUAAAAAAUGCACAUCUCUUUCACUACUGGGGAAGAACGGAGAUCAAGAGCAGACAUGCUCAAAAGGACACAGCUCAGAAGGUGCCAUCUUUGAAGCAGAGAGGGAGCCCUCACCAGACACCAAAUCUGCUACUGCCUUUGUCUUGGACUCUCCAGCCUCCAGAACUGUAAGCAAGAAAUUUCUGUUAUCUACAAAUUAUCCAGUUGAUAAGGUUUGGCUCUGUGUGCCCACCC